rnacentral:rRNA from 1 species
AGCAGCCGCGGUAAUUCCAGCUCCAAUAGCGUAUAUUAAAGUUGUUGCAGUUAAAAAGCUCGUAGUUGAAUUUCGGGAUCAGAGUGUCGGUCGUGCCUCGGUACGCACUGGUAUUAUUGGUUCCUACCUUCUGAAGAACCGCGAUGUCAUUAAUUUGGUGUCGUGGGGAAUCAGGACUGUUACUUUGAAAAAAUUAGAGUGUUUAAAGCAGGCUUACGCUUGAAUACAUUAGCAUGGAAUAAUGAAAUAGGACGUUUGAUUCUAUUUUGUUGGUUUCUAGGAUUGACGUAAUGAUUAAUAGGGAUAGUUGGGGGCAUUAGUAUUCAAUUGUCAGAGGUGAAAUUCUUGGAUUUAUUGAAGACUAACUACUGCGAAAGCAUUUGCCAAGGAUGUUUUCAUUAAUCAAGAACGAAAGUUAGGGGAUCGAAGACGAUCAGAUACCGUCGUAGUCUUAACCAUAAACUAUGCCGACUAGGGAUCGGAUGAUGUUAAUUUUUAAUGACUCAUUCGGCGCCUUACG